GUUCAUGGAGCUUGUGAAAUUAUGUUUGUAUUAUAAUAGUGUUGAGGCCGAGGGUUCGAAGUGCAUCAAGUUUGAGAGAAGACUGCGUCUUGAGAUCAAGCAAGGUAUAAGUUAUUAGGAGAUCCACUAUUUUUAUAAACUGGUGAAUAAGUAUAGAAUCUACGAUGAAGAUAGAAGAACCCAAUCUUCUCAGUACAAGAGUAUUAGUGAA
rnacentral:lncRNA from 1 species